AACGAACGCUGGCGGCACGUUUUAAGCAUGCAAGUCGAAUGGCAGCAGGGGCAACUCUGUGAGAAUGGCGAACGGGUGAGUAACACGUAGGUGAUCUGCCUUGAGGAUGGGGAUAGCAUGUGAAACACAGGGUAAUACCGAAUAAGCUGACGGGACUUUGGUUUUGUUAGUAAAGGUGCUACGGCACCGCCUUGAGAGGAGCCUGCGGCUGAUUAGCUAGUUGGUGGGGUAAAGGCCUACCAAGGGUACGAUCAGUAGCCGGCCUGAGAGGGUGUACGGCCACACUGGGACUGAGACACUGCCCAGACUCCUACGGGAGGCAGCAGCUAAGAAUCUUCCGCAAUGGGCGAAAGCCUGACGGAGCGAUGCCGCGUGAUCGAUGAAGGUCGAGAGAUUGUAAAGAUCUUUUCUACAUGAGGAAUAAGUCUGGGAGGGAAUGCCUGGAUGAUGACGUUAGUGUAGGAAUAAGCCCCGGCUAAUUACGUGCCAGCCGCCGCGGUAA
rnacentral:rRNA from 1 species